AUGACACGUCCAAAACACCUAGGCGGGCUGGGAUUCAUAGAUCUGGAGAUAUUCAACCUAGCUUUGUUGUCGCGUCAGGCCUGGAGACUCUUGCAAGAACCAUUGAGUUUGAGUGCAAGGAUUUUGAAGGUUGCAUACUACCCUGAUAGUACGGUACUUAACGCUGAGUUGGGAUCUAGACCUUCUUAGAUCUGGCGAGCUAUCAUGGAGGGGCUG
rnacentral:rRNA from 1 species